GUGAGGAAUAUUGGUCAAUGGGCGGGAGCCUGAACCAGCCAAGUCGCGUGAAGGAAGAAGGAUCUAUGGUUCGUAAACUUCUUUUGCAGGGGAAUAAAGUGCAGGACGUGUCCUGUUUUGUAUGUACCCUGAGAAUAAGGAUCGGCUAACUCCGUGCCAGCAGCCGCGGUAAUACGGAGGAUCCGAGCGUUAUCCGGAUUUAUUGGGUUUAUAGGGUGCGUAGGUGGUUUGAUAAGUCAGCGGUGAAAGUUUGCAGCUUAACUGUAAAAAUGCCGUUGAAACUGUCGGACUUGAGUGUAAAUGAGGUAGGCGGAAUGCGUGGUGUAGCGGUGAAAUGCAUAGAUAUCACGCAGAACUCCGAUUGCGAAGGCAGCUUACUAAGCUACAACUGACACUGAAGCACGAAAGCGUGGGGAUCAAACAGGAUUAGAUACCCUUGUAGUCC
rnacentral:rRNA from 1 species